CACCAGGGGUGCUGACCGCAGACGCUAACCAGCCUGAGCAGCUGCCAGACUGGAGGCAAGAAGCGCAGAUGCAGGCUCUCGCCCGUUCCCAGGAGCUAGUGGCACAGGUGUUCCUCGUUAAGUGGUAGGCAUUCGGUGCCAGGGAGCUCACAAGCAAAGCCUUCAGCCCUGGCAGCCCACGGGACGCGUGUGCUUCGGAGCCUGGAUGGGGUUAGGACAAGGCAGAGGACGUCCUGCAUUCAGCCCCGCUAAUGCAGCUACGCUCUCAAUCAAAAGUGCUCAAGCAGCUUCAGAAAGCGGAGGAAGAAACAACCCUGAGUGGCCAAGGUUGAUGAUCAUACAGAAACCACCACAGAGUCAACUGGGACACUGAGAUGCAAUUCUUUUAUUGGCUGCCCCUGUAGCUUGGCUUAUCACCAGCAAGAAGCACAGCACAGUGUUAGAGCUACAUGGGGUUAAAACCACACAAUGUUGAGAAGAUGAGGGAAAAGAGGAUGGGAAGGUGAUGGUAGAGAAGAUGAAGGAAAAGAGGAUGGGAAGGCAAUGGUAGAGAAGAUGAAGGAAAAGAGGAUGGAAAGGCGAUGGUAGAGAAGAUGAAGGAAAAGAGGAUG